rnacentral:rRNA from 1 species
GGAAAAGCUCAAAUUUGAAAUCUGGCAGUCUGAUUUUUCAUCUUGGCUGUCCGAAUUGUAAUCUAGAGAAGUGCUACCUGUACUGGACCGUGUACAAGUCUCCUGGGAUGGAGCAUCAUAGAGGGUGAGAAUCCCGUCUUUGACAUGGACCGCCAGUGCGUUGUGGUGUACUUUCAAAGAGUCGAGUUGUUUGGGAAUGCAGCUCUAAAUGGGUGGUAAACUCCAUCUAAAGCUAAAUAUUGGCGAGAGACCGAUAGUGAACAAGUACCGUGAGGGAAAGAUGAAAAGUACUUUGGAAAGAGAGUUAAACAGUAUGUGAAAUUGUUGAAAGGGAAACACUUGAUGUCAGUUGUGUUAGCUAGGAUUCAACCGGGCUUUUUUGCUAGGUGAAUUUCCUUGUCUGACAGGCCAACAUCAGUUUUGACUGUUAGAAAAAGGCAGGAGGAAUGUGGCACCUUCGGGUGUGUUAUAGACUUUUGUCAGAUAUGGCAGUCGGGACUGAGGCAUGCAGCGUGCCGUUAAGGCUGGGUUUCGACCACGUUCACGCUUAGGAUGUUGGCUUAAUGGCAUUAAUUGACCCGUCUUGAAACACGGACCAAGGAGUCUAACAUGCCUGCGAGUAUUUGGGUGGUUAAACCCUUGUGCGCAAUGAAAGUGAAGAUUGAGAUCCCUGUCAUGGGGAGCAUUGAUGCCCGGACCUGAGCUUUUAGCGAUGGAUCUGCGGUCAAGCAUGCAUGUUGGGACCCGAAAGAUGGUGAACUAUG